UGUUUCGACACACUAUCAUUAACUGAAUCCAUAGGUUAAUGAGGCGAACCGGGGGAACUGAAACAUCUAAGUACCCCGAGGAAAAGAAAUCAACCGAGAUUCCCCCAGUAGCGGCGAGCGAACGGGGAGCAGCCCAGAGCCUGAAUCAGUAUGUGUGUUAGUGGAAGCGUCUGGAAAGGCGCGCGAUACAGGGUGACAGCCCCGUACACAAAAAUGCACAUGCUGUGAGCUCGAUGAGUAGGGCGGGACACGUGGUAUCCUGUCUGAAUAUGGGGGGACCAUCCUCCAAGGCUAAAUACUCCUGACUGACCGAUAGUGAACCAGUACCGUGAGGGAAAGGCGAAAAGAACCCCGGCGAGGGGAGUGAAAAAGAACCUGAAACCGUGUACGUACAAGCAGUGGGAGCACGCUUAGGCGUGUGACUGCGUACCUUUUGUAUAAUGGGUCAGCGACUUAUAUUCUGUAGCAAGGUUAACCGAAUAGGGGAGCCGAAGGGAAACCGAGUCUUAACUGGGCGUUAAGUUGCAGGGUAUAGACCCGAAACCCGGUGAUCUAGCCAUGGGCAGGUUGAAGGUUGGGUAACACUAACUGGAGGACCGAACCGACUAAUGUUGAAAAAUUAGCGGAUGACUUGUGGCUGGGGGUGAAAGGCCAAUCAAACCGGGAGAUAGCUGGUUCUCCCCGAAAGCUAUUUAGGUAGCGCCUCGUGAAUUCAUCUCCGGGGGUAGAGCACUGUUUCGGCAAGGGGGUCAUCCCGACUUACCAACCCGAUGCAAACUGCGAAUACCGGAGAAUGUUAUCACGGGAGACACACGGCGGGUGCUAACGUCCGUCGUGAAGAGGGAAACAACCCAGACCGCCAGCUAAGGUCCCAAAGUCAUGGUUAAGUGGGA
rnacentral:rRNA from 1 species